CUCCAAAAUUCCAAAUCCGUGAACCCUAAAAUACAACAAAAUAACUAGGUUUAUGGCAAAAUUUGAUGCCCAAACUCUCAUCAGAGACAAAAGGUUCUGGAUCGCUUCUUUCCUCAUUGCUUGGGCUGCUGCUCUCCAGGGGCAUAUGACGUGGAUGCAAAGGCAGGACGCUUUCAAGCAAAAAUUCGGUACACCAAAUCAAUCCAAUGAUGAUAAAUCAGAAAACAUUUCCCAAAGAUGAAUCAGCUGGUUUGUUUUCUAAUGCUGUUUUUUCAUUUGAUUGUUAGAACAAUGUCGGAUAUUUGUGACCUCAUGUUUAGAUGAUGAGGUUAUUAAGUUUCUUCUUCAGUUAGACCUUAAAAUGCCCAAUAUUAAUCAGUAUGUUUGAAAAUUUCAAGGAAGAUUGAUAUUAUAAGUUUAAUAGAUUGUGGCUUCGCAGA